rnacentral:lncRNA from 1 species
AAAUAGAAGUUAUAGGAAAAAAUAAAAUUUAAAAUAAAAUCGAACACAUUUUGUGAAAUAGAAGUUAUAGGAAAAAAAAAAGAAUUUAAAAUAAAAUGAAACAAAUUUUGUGAAAUAGAAGUUAUAGGAAAAAAUGGAAUUUUAAAAAAAUAUGAAACAAAUUUUGUAAAAUAAAAGUUAUAGGAAAAAAUAGAAGUUACAUG